AUUGAACGCUAGCGGCAUGCUUUACACAUGCAAGUCGAACGAGUGGCGGACGGGUGAGUAAUGUCUGGGAAACUGCCCGGUGGCGGGGGAUAACUACUGGCAACGGUAGCUAAUACCGCAUACUAUUGGAUGUGCCGAGAUCGGAUUAGCUAGUAGGUGGGGUAAGGGCUCACCAAGGCGACGAUCCUUCGCUGGUUUGAGAGGAUGACCAGCCACACUGGAACUGAGACACGGGCCAGACUCCUACGGGAGGCAGCAGUGGGGAAUAUUGGACAAUGGGCGCAAGCCUGAUGCAGCCAUGCCGCGUGUAUGAAGAAGGCCUUCGGGUUGUAAAGUACUUUCGGCGGAGAGGCGGUACCCGCAGAAGAAGCACCGGCUAACUCCGUGCCAGCAGCCGCGGUAAUUC
rnacentral:rRNA from 1 species